GCCGGUCCUUCAACUGCCCAAACGCACGGCAUGAAUAAUAGAUACCCAGACCCAGACCAGGAAGCUGGUUUCCUCCCUGGUUCACAUGAACUUCCCUGCAGAUCCUGGAGUCAGCUCCGGGAAAACCGGCAGUCCGUUAUUCCUGGAGCCUCAGAUCCUCACGGAUGGGGGGUUAAUCCUGCUCUCCGGUUCGGUUCUUCUUCGUACCACAUCACCACCACUGGCCCAACUUGUGUGUUCUCCAGCAGGCCCUGAACGCACCACGCAGUGUCCCCUCCGGACCGCUUUUACGCAGCACUUGGAUCCAUGUUUUUAGGACGGAUUCGUGUAUUUUCGGGUCCGUUUGAGUCCACACGGACACAGACGGAGGACCACCCCCCCUUCUUUUACCAAUGUGGGUCAGACACACGCAAACACGGGCCCGAAACCGGUUCUAACCGUGACACUUGGUUCCGGUCCGGAGCGGCUCAUCAUCAACAGGCUGAAAUAUUCACACUGACCCGGAUUAAUGUGUCCCUCCGCCCCGGUGCCGAACAUCCCCCGUGGAAGAACAUAGUGCCGUGAACCAGUCCAACGGAACACUCCAUGUAUCUGCCCCCCCCACAGGAUCCACCGGAACGAACAGAUCCGACACUGAACCGAGCCGAGCCGCUGGUUCCGAUGGUACCGACCUACGGCAUUCCCCCCGACAGAGGAUGAAGAGGCUGUCAGAGUGGGUCCGUGAAGGUACCACCUCUGGAGAAGGGGGGGGGGGAUUCUUUUCCUU